UAUCUAAUUAGUUUAUAAAAAUAUUAAUUUGUGGAGUUAAAGAAGACGAAUCAUUAGAUAU
rnacentral:tRNA from 1 species